rnacentral:rRNA from 1 species
ACUCGAUCACGUGCAGAGGGGAAUAGCAGGUUGUGCGUCUCUGUCAGAGACUACUACUAUUACAUGCUGCAGACACGGUCUGCGAUCUUCAAUCCCAUACUCUGUGGAGCACGCCUGGUGCAGCAAUGGGCGGUCGACAUGUAUGUCAAGAUUGAGAGUUGUCGGUUGAGAUGGUACAAGAAGAACCAGACGCAGAUUCAGGCCGACUUGUAUAAAGGAAUUGUUGAUGCGACCACAUCGGGCGAGACGUGAGCAAUCGCUGUUGGGACAAGAAUAGUGCUCCCUGGAACAUACCCUGGUGGUGACCGCGACAUGAAAAAGAGACAUAUGGAUGCCAUGGCAAUUAUCCAUACAUACGGGAAGCCUGACAUCUUCUUGACCAUGACUUGCAAUCCUAAAUGGGAAGAGAUAACGAAUGAGUUUUUGCCUGGUCAGACGGCGCAAGACCAACCUGACAUUGUGGCUCGCGUGUUCUACGGCAAACUAGAGGCUAUGAAAGACAUGUUGUUCAAGAAGCAUAUCCUGGGCGUUGUUGUUGCUUAUGUAUACAUAGUCGAGUUCCAAAAAAGGGGCCUUCCCCACGCACAUUUUUUGUUGAUCAUGGACUCAGCAUAUAAGCUAAUCAUCCCGGAGCAGUAUGACCGACUCAUUUCCGCUGAGCUCCCAGACAAGCAUAAGUAUCCGAAAUUGUAUGCAAUGGUGGUAAAACAUAUGAUGCACGGACCAUGCGGUGCUCUCAACCCAAAGAAUGUUUGCAUGCAAGAAAACGGAUGCAAGUGCAGAUACUCGCAGUCGUUCAAUGAAAACACAACACAGGGGAAGGACUCAUACCUAGUUUAUUAG